UACGUAGGUGGCAAGCGUUAUCCGGAAUUAUUGGGCGUAAAGCGCGCGCAGGUGGUUUCUUAAGUCUGAUGUGAAAUCUUCCGGCCUAACCGGAAAAGUGCCUUGGAUACUGGUCGCCUGGAGGGAGGUAGGGGCACGCGGAACUCCAGGUGGAGCGGUGAAAUGCGUAGAUAUCUGGAGGAACGCCGGUGGCGAAAGCGGCGUGCUGGACCUCUUCUGACGCUGAGGCGCGAAAGCCAGGGGAGCAAACGGG
rnacentral:rRNA from 1 species